AGGACGAACGCUGGCGGUGUGCCUCAUACAUGCAAGUCGAACGAGAAACUCACUUCGGUGAGUGGAAAGUGGCGGACGGGUGAGUAAUAUGUAGGAAAUCUGCCCUAGAGAGGGGGACAACAGAGGGAAACUUCUGCUAAUACCCCAUACGAGCUUGGUUGAAAUACCAAUCUUGAAAACUCCGGUGCUCUAGGAUGAGCCUGCAUCUGAUUAGCUAGUUGGUGGUGUAAUGGACCACAAAGGCGACGAUCAGUAGCUGGUUUGAGAGGAUGAUCAGCCACAAUGGGACUGAGACACGGCCCAUACUCCUACGGGAGGCAGCAGUAGGGAAUUUUGCGCAAUGGGGGAAACCCUGACGCAGCAACACCGCGUGAAUGUUAAGCCCUUCGGGGUAUAAAGUUCUGUCAAUGGGGAAGAAUAAAUGACUGUACCCAUAAAGGAAGCACCGGCUAACUCCGUGCCAGCCGCCGC
rnacentral:rRNA from 1 species